CUGAAAAACUAAUAAGUUUUUUUAUAUCCCUUUGUUUACCUACCCUGUUGCUUCCACCAGAGGAAGUUGUUCCUCUGGUGGCAAGAUUCUAUAAAGAAACCUUUUGUGAAUAAAUGUCUGAUAAAAUUCUGAAAAUAGAAAUA
rnacentral:misc_RNA from 1 species